GAUGAACGCUGGCGGCGUGCCUAAUACAUGCAAGUCGAGCGAACGGACGAGAAGCUUGCUUCUCUGAUGUUAGCGGCGGACGGGUGAGUAACACGUGGAUAACCUACCUAUAAGACUUGGAUAACUUCGGGAAACCGGAGCUAAUACCGGCUAAUAUUUUGAACCGCAUGGUUCAAAAGUGAAAGACGGUCUUGCUGUCACUUAUAGAUGGAUCCGCGCUUCAUUAGCUAGUUGGUAAGGUAACGGCUUACCAAGGCAACGAUGCAUAGCCGACCUGAGAGGGUGAUCGGCCACACUGGAACUGAGACACGGUCCAGACUCCUACGGGAGGCAGCAGUAGGGAAUCUUCCGCAAUGGGCGAAAGCCUGACGGAGCAACACCGCGUGAGUGAUGAAGGUCUUCGGAUCGUAAAACUCUGUUAUUAGGGAAGAACAUAUGUGUAAGUAACUGUGCACAUCUUGACGGUACCUAAUCAGAAAGCCACGGCUAACUACGUG
rnacentral:rRNA from 1 species